UACAGCCAUUGAAACACCAGCUCUUUUCCUAUCACCAAAGUUAAGUAAAGCCAAGCCUAGUCAGUACUUAGAUGGGUGACCACUUGGGAAUACCAGGUGUUGUAA